UACAGAGGAGCCAAGCGUUGUCCGGAUUGACUGGGCGUAAAGCGCACGCAGGCGGUCGUGCGCGUGGGGUGUGAAAUCUGGCCGCUUAACGGCCAGGCGCCAUCCCAUACGGCACGACUGGAGCGAUGCAGAGGUCGGUGGAAUUGCCGGUGUAGUGGUGAAAUGCGUAGAGAUCAGGAAGAACAUCGGUGGCGAAGGCGCUCUGCUGGACCAUAACUGACACUCAGGGACGAAAGCUAGGGGAGCGAAUGGG
rnacentral:rRNA from 1 species